AGGUAUGAUAUCCCUGGGACAACAUACUGUAUAGGUAUGAUAUCCCUGGGACUACAUACUGUAUAGGUAUGAUAUCCCUGGGACAACAUACUGUAUAGGUAUGAUAUCCCUGGGACAACAUACUGUAUAGGUAUGAUAUCCCUGGGACUACAUAUAGGGAUGAUAUCCCUGGGACAACAUAUAGGGAUGAUAUCCCUGUGACAACAUAUAGGGAUGAUAUCCCUGGGACAACAUAUAGGUAUGAUAUCCCUGGGACAACAUAUAGGUAUGAUAUUUCUGGGACAACAUAUAGGUAUGAUAUCACUGGGACAACAUAUAGGGAUGAUAUCACUGGGACAACAUAUAGGGAUGAUAUUUCUGGGACAACAUAUAGGUAUGAUAUCACUGGGACAACAUACUGUAUAGGUAUGACAUCACUGGGACAACAUAUAGGUAUGACAUCACUGGGACAACAUAUAGGUAUGACAUCACUGGGACAACAUAUAGGUAUGAUAUCACUGGGACAACAUAUAGGUAUGAUAUCACUGGGACAACAUACUGUAUAGGUAUGACAUCACUGGGACAACAUAUAGGUAUGACAUCACUGGGACAACAUAUAGGUAUGACAUCACUGGGACAACAUAUAGGUAUGAUAUCACUGGGACAACAUAUAGGUAUGAUAUCACUGGGACAACAUAUAGGUAUGAUAUCACUGGGACAACAUAUAGGUAUGACAUCACUGGGACAACAUAUAGGUAUGAUAUCACUGGGACAACAUAUAGGUAUGACAUCACUGGGACAACAUAUAGGUAUGAUAUCACUGGGACAACAUAUAGGUAUGACAUCACUGGGACAACAUAUAGGUAUGAUAUCACUGGGACAACAUAUAGGUAUGAUAUCACUGGGACAACAUAUAGGUAUGAUAUCACUGGGACAACAUAUAGGUAUGAUAUCACUGGGACAACAUAUAGGUAUGAUAUCACUGGGACAACAUAUAGGUAUGAUAUCACUGGGACAACAUAUAGGUAUGAUAUCACUGGGACAACAUAUAGGUAUGAUAUCACUGGGACAACAUAUAGGUAUGAUAUCACUGGGACAACAUAUAGGUAUGAUAUCACUGGGACAACAUAUAGGUAUGAUAUCACUGGGACAACAUAUAGGUAUGAUAUCACUGGGACAACAUAUAGGUAUGAUAUCACUGGGACAACAUACUGUAUAGGUAUGAUAUCACUGGGACAACAUACUGUAUAGGUAUGAUAUCACUGGGACAACAUACUGUAUAGGUAUGAUAUCACUGGGACAACAUACUGUAUAGGUAUGAUAUCACUGGGACAACAUACUGUAUAGGUAUGAUAUCACUGGGACAACAUACUGUAUAGGUAUGAUAUCACUGGGACAACAUAUAGGUAUGAUAUCACUGGGACAACAUAUAGGUAUGAUAUCACUGGGACAACAUAUAGGUAUGAUAUCACUGGGACAACAUAUAGGUAUGAUAUCACUGGGACAACAUAUAGGUAUGAUAUCACUGGGACAACAUAUAGGUAUGACAUCACUGGGACAACAUAUAGGUAUGAUAUCACUGGGACAACAUAUAGGUAUGAUAUCACUGGGACAACAUAUAGGUAUGAUAUCACUGGGACAACAUAUAGGUAUGACAUCACUGGGACAACAUAUAGGUAUGAUAUCACUGGGACAACAUACUGUAUAGGUAUGAUAUCACUGGGACAACAUACUGUAUAGGUAUGAUAUCACUGGGACAACAUACUGUAUAGGUAUGAUAUCACUGGGACAACAUACUGUAUAGGUAUGAUAUCACUGGGACAACAUACUGUAUAGGUAUGAUAUCACUGGGACAACAUACUGUAUAGGUAUGAUAUCCCUGGGACAACAUAUAGGUAUGAUAUCACUGGGACAACAUAUAGGUAUGAUAUC